rnacentral:rRNA from 1 species
CCCUUAGAUGUCCUGGGCUGCACGCGCGCUACACUGAUGCGCUCAACGAGUUUUUGAUCUUGCCUGAAAUGGCUUGGUAAUCUUUUUAAAACGCAUCGUGAUGGGGAUAGACUUUUGCAAUUUUUGGUCUUCAACGAGGAAUUCCUAGUAAACGCAAGUCAUCAACUUGCAUUGAUUACGUCCCUGCCCUUUGUACACACCGCCCGUCGCACCUACCGAUUGAAUGGUCCGGUGAAGCCUCCGGAUUGGCGCGCACCUCGGUGCCGCCGAGAAGUUGGCUAAACCUUACCAUUUAGAGGAAGGUGAAGUCGUAACA